UACGUAGGGUGCAAGCGUUAAUCGGAAUUACUGGGCGUAAAGCGUGCGCAGGCGGUUCUAUAAGACAGAUGUGAAAUCCCCGGGCUCAACCUGGGAACUGCAUUUGUGACUGUAGAGCUGGAGUGUGGCAGAGGGGGAUGGAAUUCCGCGUGUAGCAGUGAAAUGCGUAGAUAUGCGGAGGAACACCGAUGGCGAAGGCAGCCUCCUGGGCUAGUACUGACGCUCAUGCACGAAAGCGUGGGGAGCAAACAGG
rnacentral:rRNA from 1 species